AUAUCCUCACCAAAUGCUGGAGACAGCUUGACUUUUGCUAGCACUAUGACUUUCCUCGCUUAACAUCCUUGCCAAAAAGAAAGGCGGGAAGCUUCCCUCCAAAUUGUAGUCAUAGUGGCGCCAAGGCUUUUUGGUACUCGUGAGAAUUCAUGCAGUUCCACGCUGAUGUACCGCACUUGGUGAGGACAGGUUCUCGCCGAUCUGUAUUUGACCAAUAGCAAGAAGUGGUUCUAUUCUUGCUAAAAUAAAAAUACAACCAAACGUUGUAGUUUUAAGAGUUAAGAGGCCUUUGAAAAAGGAAAAGAAAAAGAAGAAACAGAAGAGUAAAGUGCAGAUGCAGGAAGAUAAAUGCCACCAAGUUCGUUGAUUUCAUUCUCUUUCCCUUUUAAUUUCUCUGAAUUCUCUCUCUAACAAUUUGUAAUCAGGUGCGCUUUUUCUUCUUCUUUUUCUUCUUCUAUUUUAAGAUCAAGGCUAGAUAUGUAAAACUUUACUUGUUAUUUUUAUUGCGGUUACUAAUUGUGUCUAUGUGGUCCUCUUGAAUUUAAUAAUCGAUUGCUACCAUGUGAAUCCCAUAAGAAUCUGAUUGAGUUUUCUUUGCUACCUAUCAUCCUCCGUGUUCAUGUUUAUAAUAUUUGAGUUAUUCACUUCUUUUAACACAUUUGGCAUGUUCAACAAGUCAGGAUUCUUGUUUUGUGCUUCUUUAUGGUAGAACCAUGUUCAUUACCUUUGUAACCUUUUUUUGCUUGUAUGAUUUUAUAUCCCUAAUCCUUCUUAACUUGUAUAGGAGUUGUGUCUUUAACAUGGUAUGCUUUUGUUGAAUAAGUGGUUAAAUUAUGGUCUGCUAUAUCAUAGAAGAUAACAAUACUUUCGUAUCAUUAGCUAUUGUCCUUUUGGACAAUUUAUAGGUUUGGCCUUAUCGUUAGUAAAGGCCAUUAUUCUUCAACUACUGAAAGCAUAGAAAUAAAAAGUUCCAGUCCUCAGAGAUGUCAUUUUGAGUAAUAGUAGUUUUGUUUUACUAGUAACAUCCAAUGAUAUCUUCAAGAUUUAGAAUAGCGCACUACUAAAAUGAGUAUUGAAUAGCACUAAUCGGAACAUGACAAAUGAGAAGAUAUGUAGAUUUUCUAGCUGAUUACAUUCACCCAGUAAUUCAUUGCCAACCAGUAUUUGGAUUGAAAUUGCAUUUGUUCUGGUGCAUACCUUGUUGAUUAUAGGAUCUUUUGUCAAUCUGUGUAUGUUUGUGGUCCUUCAAGUUGGCUGAACUUAGAUGCAGAAGGCAUGACGAAUUUGACUAUCAGUACUUUACACAACGACAUUAAUCUCAAGGCUUAGUUUCAAAGGAACAAAGACACAAUUCAAAGUAACAAAUGAGAAAAUAACUCUGCUGCAAAAACAUUUUUGUUUUUCUCUAUAAAAAUUUGACAAGGCCUAGAACUCUCAGGAUUUCUUAGCAUUCUCUACAGAACCAUACAUCUAUCCAAACCUGGUUGAUUUGCCACCUCCAAAAUGCGUCCUGGACUUGAAAACAAAGAUGGCAUUUGGGUCCUUGACAUCAUACAUCCUAGCCAAUUUCUCCUUCAACUCAGCCUUGGAAACAUUAGGCCUUCGAGGAUGCAGAACAUCAAUGAUGAAUUGUUUUCUGGAAAGAAGACGAUUGGUCAUGAACUUCCUAGUAAGAAUAGUCACCACCUUGUCCGCCAUUUUUCUUGCCUCCGGCGCCGCCAUUGCUUCCGCUCUUUCUCCUCUGAAUGGGCGGUUGGUUGGGGAAGCGACAGAAGGGGAACGUAAAAGGCUUUCUUACAAUAAUCAAUGUCCAUGAGGGUCUUGAAUUUUAUAGUAAUAGAUUGAUGCCAAGUUAAUCCCAGAGCAAUCUUGCUGAGUUUUCUUGGCCAUGAUUCCAUGUUCACUCUUUAAAAGAUAGGGAGUGUAAUUGAUCAAAUGGGGGAGCCAACAGCUUCAACGUCUUCAGUGUUAGAGCAAUGGAUAAAUGCUGCUAGUCCUUUCAAUGAAUCAGUUGUGGCAUUUUAAUUAGCAUUAUCUUGUGUGAAAAACAGGACUUCUUUUUUCUCUCUCUCUCUCGACUUAAUUAGAACAUUUCUUUAGCUGUUUCACCGCUGAGCUGGGUGAGGAAUUGGUAUGGUGCCAUAAUAGCACUGCUUUCUUGAAGUGAUAUCGCUGCUCUGUUUUUCCUCUGUUUCUAGCCGUGUUUCCAACAACUUCUUUGGAACUCUCCAGUUUUUACAGCUUGUGUUUCUGUCAGCCGUUUCCAUGACUAGUUGCAGAUGUAGCUUCUCUUCUCACAAUCCAAAGCCCCAAAAUCCAAACACCCCUCGCCCCCCACCCCAAAAAAAACUCCUGCAUGAAUGCAUGCAGCUUGGUAGGUGGACAAGUGCAUGAGCAUGCAUGACAUCUUUCAGCAAUAAUAAUGACUUUCCAUCGUUGUAUCAUCAUUCUUUCAAACAAUUUAUUGGUGAUGUCACCAAUUUGUGCUUCUGUGUGAUGAUGUUAGUACGAAUCUCAAUUAAUAUGAAUGCAUAGAGUCAGUCCUCUGUUAUUUCUAGUAAUACACUAUGACAAAAUGAUGAAUGGAUGUGAUGCAAGUUAUAUGUGAUUUUGGAAAGCAAAAUAUGGGUAGCCAAAUACAUGGGAAGUUUUAGUGCUGAGAAAUGCAGUUGAGGCACAAUGGUUUUAGUAAAAAAUUUCAUUAUGUGGAAAAUCUCUUACAUUAAAUUUUUGUUUUGCAGGUUUAUUUUGGAGAUUUUGGAUGGAAAUAGGCUGUGCAAUCUAGAAGGAGCCACUUGAGCUUGAAUUGUUUUUGAAGUUUGGCUAGUUUUGGAUGUGGUAGAUGAUAAAAUAUUUUUGAAGCUAGGCUUAUUUUUGUUUAAAAGGAGUAAUGGUUAACAUUGCGAAUUUGGAAAUAGGUUGCAAUCUGGAAGGCACCGUGAAAGUGUUUAAAAUGUUUAGGUGGCUUGUUUGGGAUGUAAUAGGUGACAAGACCUUUUGGAAGCUCAAGUUUGUUUUAAACGGUGGUUAUUUUGGAAAGGCACAAUUGCUGUUCAUGUAUUUUUGAAGUAAUGACUUCAACUUUUGGUCAUGCAUAGGUGCUGAAUUAUGAUUAAAUGUCAAACGUCCCUUUUUCCAUCCUA